GGAGGGCCGCGGGUCGGACGCGGUGCAGGGCAGCUGUGGGCAGCGUGUUGCUGGCCCAAGACCCCGAUUGGGGUUUUCUUGUGGUAAUUCAGGAACCUUCCGUUGUCCGUGUGGACCGGGUCUGGACGCCGGGAGCGCAGCGGUCAAGUAGGGUUUGCCCCGCCAGAAGCCCGGGGUUACCGGAAGGCGGACUGCCGUCCCUGCCCCAGCUGGGAGAGCGGCCCCAGAGCUGUGUGGUCGCACAGGUCCUAGCUGCUCAACUUCCAAUCCAGCUCUGUGCUAUGGCCUGGGAAAGCAGUAGAAGAUGGCUGGUCCUUGGGCUCCUACACCCACAUGGGAGACCUGAAAGAAGCUCCUGGCUCCUGGCUUCAGAUUUGCCCAGCUUCAAUUGUUGCAGCCUUUGGGGAGUGAACCAGAGAAUGGAAGACGUCUCUCUCUCGGCCUCUGCAUUUCUGAAUUCCACAGGCCUGGAUUAGCCUUGACUUGUCCAAAGGCUUUCUACACUUGGGAAAGCAGCGGAGAAUGACCAAAGUGCUUGGGCACCUGCCACCCAAGUGGGAGAUGCAGAUGGAAUUCCUGGAUUCUGGCUUUGUCCUGAAUCAAUUGCAGCCACUUGGAGAAUGAACCAGUGCAUGAAAAAAAAUCUCUCCCCACCUCUGUCACUGUGCCUUUUAAAUAUAAAAAUCUUUUAAAUAAAAAAGGAAACUGAUUCUUUCAACAAGAUAUUAGUCUACUUGUGUUGCCACAACAAAAAUACCAUGGAGGGACUGGUGCAGUGGUGUAGUGGGCUAAGCCUCCACCUGCAGUGACAUCAUCCCAUAUGGGUGCUGAUUCUA